AGGGGGCUUCUGUUGACUAUCGCUGUUCGCGCUCUGCGCAGCCGCCAACGCGGCGCGCGGCACCGCUAGGGCGGUGAUUGGCUUUGGCGCACGAGAAGGCGGCAGCUGAUUGGCUGGUUCAAAGCUGAGGGGACCGUUUGGCGGGCGGCGGUAGUCGUGAGGGGUUUGUUAAGCCGAAGAAGCAGAUGGCAAAGAGGCGGCGGCUAAACGCCGGAGUGGGAAGGACGGAGCCGAGUAAGUUCGUCUUGAGGGUGGGGGAGCGACGCUGAGGUAACGGGGCUGCCCCUUUCCUUCAGAAGAAAGCGAGCCGGGGAAACAGUACGUUGUAAAUCAGUUUAUUUUCAUCCGGCUCUUCCUCCGAGGAGCUCAGAACGGCCCAUAACAUAGUGGGAUCCCCAUCUCGUCCUGGCGACAACCCUGUGAGGUGGGUUAGGGCCGGGCGAGCUUCGUGGCGGAGAGCGUUUGAACCCGAGUAAUGGCCUUUGGGCCUGGGGUGCCCGAUGACGUCAUUAUAUAUAAUUUCCCAGUAAACCUUAAGCUUACUACAAGACCACCACAUAUGAUAAAAAAAAUCUUUCUCUUUACAUUUCGAGAUUUUCCGGCUGAUAACAAUAAUCUUUAUUGUCCCAUACAGAACAACGAAAUUGGGGGGGGGGGGACAUCAGACAUUCAGAAACCAACAAGGCUGCUAUCCCAGCCUGGUUAGCCCCCUAAAAAUUCUGAUACCCCAUAAUUAAAUACAAUAUACUCCCAUAGAGACUACAGUGGUACCUCAGGUUACAUAUGCUUCAGGUUACAGACUCCGCUAACCCAGAAAUAGUACCUCAGGUUAAGAACUUUGCUUAAGGAUGAGAACAGAAAUCAUGCUCUGGCAGCACAGCAGCAGCAGGAGGCCCCAUUAGCUAAAGUGGUUCUUCAGGUUAAGAACAGACCUCCAGAACGAAUUAAGUACUUAACCCGAGGUACCGCUGUACCUUAAAAAGGUAAAUGGACACCUGACCAUUAGGUCCAGUUGUGGCCGACUCUGGGGUUGCGGCACUCAUCUCGCUUUAUUGGCCAAGGGAGCCGGCGUACAGCUUCUGGGUCAUGUGGCCAGCAUGACUAAGCCGCUUCUGGCAAACCAGAGCAGCGCACGGAAACGCCGUUUACCUUCCUGCCGGAGCAGUACCUAUUUACUUGCACUUUGAUGUGCUUUUGAACUUCUAGGUUGGCAGGAGCAGGGACCAAGCAACAGGAGUUCACCCCGUUGCGGGGAUUCGAACCGCCAACCUUCUGAUCGGCAAGUCCUAGGCUCUCUGGUUUAACCCACAGCGCCGCCCAUGUCCCUUACACUGCGUUUAAAACCAAAAUCUAAUUUGAAUAGAAACUGUUUCUCAGACGGCUAGUCCUAGUCUUUAUAACCCUGUACCUUCUUCCAGAAGGCAGACACUGAAAGAGAUCAUUUCUGGGUUGUGCACUAUCCUGCACUAUCUCUGCAGCUUUCUUAUGGCACCUGGAAGCAUAGAUUUGAUCCAAGGUGGGAAGAGUGCACCCAUUUAUUCUCUCCGCAGUCUUUACAAUCCUGGACAGCAUUGUUUUUCCCUGACCGCGCAGCUCCCAAACCACACAUACAGACCAUAAGUUAAUAACACUCUCAACAGUACAAUGGUAAAAUACCAUCAACAGGUCCUUUGAGAGAUUAUUUUUCCAGAGGAUUCUCAGAAAAUAUAACCUCUGCUGUGCUUUCUUCAUCAGGUCUUUGCUGUUUUCUCCCCAGGUUAGGUCAUGAUAUGACCGGUACCAACUCUAUGCUGUUUUCAGCCUGUUGUAAUCAUAUUUCUUUAGUCUCUUGAUCUUUCGUUGUAACUUGGUUUAUUAAUAAUUUUCUUCAGAUGAAAAAUUUGAAGGAAAGGAAGAAAAACACAGCACAGAAAACGGAAUAAACGCAAUUAACACCAGCACACCCGUCUUUUCCCUCUCUGCACAUAGAAUCAGGACGGACCCCUGAGGGUCAUCCAGUCCAGCCCCUCCCCUUGCAAUGCAGGAAUCUCAGCUAAAGCAUCCCUGACAGAUGGCCAUCCAACCUCUGCUUAAAAUACUCCAAGGAAGGAGAGUCUGCCACCUCUGGAGGGAGACUGUUUUGGGGCAUUGGUUUUGGGCAUAAGUCCCUCUCAAGGUUUAAAGAAAGGGAGGCCAGAUGCCUAGAGAAGCCUGGAAAGAGACACUUCUCUCCCCCUUUCUGCUGCCCCGCCACACACACAGUCUUUCUUUAAAAAUUCAUAUUGCGGUGUGUGCAUUGAUGCAAAGGAGCGGGGCUGUCUCCCUUCACGAUCAGGUGGGUGCAAUGGGAGGAGGGUCUGUAUGGAAAAAAAAUGAGAGGUGGAAUUUUUAUUUAUAGGGGUGGUUUGCAUCACUUCUUGCAGACCUGCCUGUGCACCAUGGCUCGGUGCUAAAGUGAUGGUCAUGGGGUUCACGCAAAGCAUAGAAUCCUAGAAUUGUAAGAGUUGGAAGGGAUCCCCACGGGUCUGACUCCCUCAGCUCAAACAUUCAGGACAGAUAGCAAAAAGUAAAACCGGGGAGGGAGGUGCAGAGAGAGGGGAAAGCAGGGGGGGCCAGGGGCAAGCCAGCCCUGACACGCAUAACAGACCACAUGCAUGCACACCAUUUGAAUGGCAAUGCCCAGCAACUUGGGUGUGGUGGUUACACACACCCUCCAUAUCUUCUCAAAAUUAUUCCUCUUGCGUAUUCCCAGUCUUAUCUUAAUGGCACAUGUUAAUUUAUCAUUAAUUGCUAUAUCCCACACCUUUAUACCAUUCUUCCAUUUUAUAUCCUGCUUGCCCUUCCACUUCCUAGCUAUCAUAAUUUGUGCAGCUGUCAAUAAAUUUGUGAGCAAGUCCUUCCUAGCCUGCGAACCUUCCACCCCAUCGUAAAUUGAUAAUAAUGCUACCUCCAGACUGGGCCAAGCCUAGAGGAGAGUGACCCUAAGAAGGGUCAGGACUUCCUGUGGAAAGGAGGGAGGGUACUGGUCAAUUUUUUGUUUGUGAUAUAUGGUGUAUACUUUACUUUUCUACUGACAAAGGUUUUGUGGAAGAAUGGAAACCGUUUUCGGAUUAUUUAAGGAAAUGUUAUAUGGUGAACAUGUGAGCAGGAUUUGAACCACAAGCAACAGAAGGGAUUGAAGAUUAUAGUAGUUUUGUUAAGGUUUAAGAGAUAGAAGAGAGGAUACAGCACAAGGAGAGAAACAAGCACUAUGGAAAAGAGGGUGGGAAGUCGGGGGGAAUAUUUUAUUAUGUAUUGAAAUGUGUGUGUGAACUUUUGGAAAACUUAAUUUAAAAAAAAAAUCACAAAAGUAUACUUUAUUUUUCUCACCAGCUGAAACUGUUUAAGUCAUUUUGGAACAAAUAUUGUAUGAAUUUGGAUUUGAUAUCCCGCUUUAUCACUACCCAAAGGAGUCUCAAAGUGGCUAACAUUCUCCUUUCCCUUCCUACCCCAUAACAAACACUCUGUGAUGUGAGUGGGGCUGAGAGACUUCAGAGAAGUGUGACUGGCCCAAGGUCACCCAGCAGCUGCAUGUGGAGGAGCGGAGACGCGAGCCCCGUUCACCAGAUUACGAGUCCACCGCUCUUAACCACUACACCACACUGGCUCUCCGAGGAAGCCAUGACUACAGUGUCAUAAUGCCUGGAAGUUGGGCCUGUAGGAGGAGCCGGGACAGACAUUUAAAACCAGAAUGAAAAUAUUGCUUGUGUAACAAUAUAUUUAAGGUUUGGGGGGGGGUUUCAGAAAGGGGAUUGAUAAGUGUCCAUUAAAGAAAGGGGAGCAAGAUCUGGGGAUGGAAUCACAACAGUUGAUGCUGAAAACAGAGAAAAUUGUUCAUCCAAGGAGAAGCUGAAAAGCUGCAUGAAAAUGUUACAAGGCUGGAGCCCAGGUGCUAAGUUGGUGUUAAAAGCAAAGCUGCUCAGAGUUAACAGCACUUCUGAAAGCAGAUGAAAAGGUGUAUGUCGUAAUAGACCCUUCAGAGGGUGAAUCUCAGAUGCUCAAACAACAUCAUGCUCAAUCAGGGCACCAGGGAAUGGACAAGACAGGCUCUCCGUACCCCUGGGGAUAUUUUAUGCACAAAACUUUUCAGAUAACAGUGCAAGAAAUUAGCUCACCUUGCCAUUAUGCCUAAUGCUUAGUUGAUUGCUUUCACAGGCAAUCAAUGGCUGAAUCCCUGGAGCUUUGGUAAGAAUUAAGAAUAAUUAUAAGGGAAAGAAGCAUCACCUUGGCAACAUUCCAGUGGCGCUUGUGGCGCAGGUGCAGAGCAGAAGAAAAACAUGUUUAUGGGAUCUCACAGAAGUGUCUCCCUGGUGUUGACGUGGCAAUUAACGGACAAAGCACUUUCAUAAAAUUGGGGACCAAUAUAUUAUUUUAUGAUAUAUGUGAAUGUGUUUGUGUUUGAACAAACACCAUGGAAUCAUCUCAGAACAAUUGUGAGUUCAUUAAACUACUUCUAGGGGGUGCCAUACACCCAUGAUUUCCCGUUCAUGGCAACCCAUGUCGGAAGUGCUGAUUUUUUUGGUGAAUUUCCUUAAAAAGCUCAAAAACGUCAACCCCACCCCUGUAAAAAUAGCUCAACAACUUUGCCAGUCCCCCAGCAACUGUUGUGUCCGGGUGUUCAUUUUGAAAAACGGCAACCCUAGUUUUGGCAAAGCAUGGGGCUCUUAAUUUCAGGGUUGUGGGUUUGGCCCCCUGCAAGAUUCCUCAUGGCCCCUUCCAACUCUGGAUUUCAAUAAGUUUAGGGUUGGCAAGUGUUUUGAGACCAGGGGCCCACAUUCUCUUCUGCAUAACCUUCAGGGGGCCACAUGUCAGUGUCAGAUGCAAAAGUGGGCGGAACAGUAAUUGCACAUCUUACCUAUGCAAAGUAGCCUAGCUCUUCCUCAAGUGUUAUCCUCUAUCCAGCAAGGCAAGCAGGGAGCAUUUUCAGAGCAUCAGGACACAUUUCAGCCGAGGGGAAGCAUUCAGGAAGGGUUCAAAACAGGGCCGGUGGCAGGAUUGGCUAAGGAGGGGUGUGUGACCUACAGACAGCUCUGAGGGCCAGAUGGGGAGGCUUGGA